AAGUCGUAACAAGGUUUCCGUAGGUGAACCUGCGGAAGGAUCAUUAUCAAAACGUAUCCACGUUAUAAACAAACCGUGAACUGUUUAACAUGCCUUUGGAGGUGAUAAGACUGAGAAAGAGGUGUCCAUUGUGUGGUUUGGAUUUUUAUAAACCUAUUUCUCGUAUACAUGGUCUUUCCUCCAAAGUGUAUUUUUAAUCACACAUUUAAUUUUUUAUUAACCAUUUGAACCAAUUUUUCAAAUCAAAAUUUAUGAACUGAAUUGUUUCUUACUCAUUGUUUAACAAGCAAUGAGACGAAACUUUUAUUACGAAAUAAAAAAUACAACUCUUAGCAACGGAUAUCUUGGUUCUCGUAAAGAUGAAGAACGCAGC
rnacentral:misc_RNA from 1 species